rnacentral:rRNA from 1 species
GACGAACGCUGGCGGCGUGCUUAACACAUGCAAGUCGAACGGAAAGGCCUGCUUUCCCUUGUGGAUUGCGGGUACUCGAGUGGCGAACGGGUGAGUAACACGUGAGUUAUCUGCCCCCAACUUGGGUAUAAGCCUGGGAAACUGGGUCUAAUUCCCGAUAGGACUGCAGGGUGGUGCCUGUGGUGGAAAACGAUUUUCUAGUGGUUGGGGAUGAGCUCGCGGCCUAUCAGCUUGUUGGUGGGGUAAUGGCCGACCAAGGCGGCGACGGGUAGCCGGCCUGAGAGGGUGGACGGCCACAUUGGGACUGAGAUACGGCCCAGACUCCUACGGGAGGCAGCAGUGGGGAAGAUUGCACAAGGGGCGGAAGCCUGAGGCAGCGACGCCGCGUGGGGGAUGACGGCCUUCGGGUUGUAAACUCCUUUCGACCGCGAGGAAGCCACCUGGUUGGAAGGGUGGUGACGGUAGUGGUAGAAGAAGCACCGGCUAACUACGUG